AGGAAAAGAAUAAGGAGAGAAAAAGAAAAGAACGAAAAAAAAUGAAGAGAAGUGUUAUGUCCUCGAUACUAGAAUCUUGUCACCGGGCGAUUCUCCAGAAUUUCUUGUUCUUGGAUCUGCUUUUCCCUUAUUGUGAUUCCCAGAGCAAUAUAUAGUGAGUUACAUGCAAGCUCAUCAAAGAGAGUUUGAAUCCUUGGGGCUUGGCAUCUGGUUUGCUGGUGUACCGGAGUAUGACCCAUCAUCUUGGAUAUGGACUACGUUUUGGGACUGGAUGAUCAGAUUUCCCUGGGUACCUGCACUUUAUACCUGACAUAUUUUCAACUGUGCUAUGCUUGUGGGUAGAGGUAAGAUCUUUAGCUUUUAGCAUUGAAGCAAAUACGUUAAAUUCGAAGGUCUGUCUCCUCAUUUCUUUCCUGAUGGUGCAAGUGAACUCACUGUGUUAUUAAAUAUAACAAAAUAAUUAGGUGGGUUAUGUAAAAAGAAGAAAACGAGAGAAUAAUGACAAGCCAAGCUUUUCAAGAUGAGAGAAUAAAGACUUGAUUGUAACUAUAGCCACAAAUAUCAUAUUUUUAACUCUAUUAGCCAUAUUAACUAAUAUGAUGUAAAAAUCAUAAAUACAAUAUUUUCAGUAAUAUUCAAAAACUGAAAAUUAAAAGAUUAUGAAAACUCACAAAAGGCAGAGACUUCAUAAUUUCACUUCCACAGGUCAGUUGUCCCUAGAAUAGUCCCUUCUAUUUUCUUCCUGCCGCCAAUUUAUAAUUUUUAUCGACUCUUUUUGUUGGUUAAAAAGGUUAUGACACACUAGUUGGCGAGCGUGGAGGACAGAGACAGAGAAUUGCUAUUGCCAGAGCUGUACUGAAGAAUGCACCAAUCUUGAUCCUUGAUGAAACAACAAGUGCCCUGGAUGCAGUCAGUGAACGCCUCGUACAGGAAGCUCCGAACCAUCUAGUGAACGGCAGGACAACAUUAGUGAUUGCUCAUAGAUUAAGCACAAUUCAGAA